rnacentral:lncRNA from 1 species
GUGUUCUUUAACUCUCCUCAUGGUUCAGGUUUCUUUAUCUCUCAUCAAUCAUAGUUCAGGUUUUCUUUAUCUCUCAUCAAUCAUAGUUCAGGUGUUCUUUAUCUGUCAUCAUAGUUCAGGUGUUCUUUUUCUCUCAUCAUAGUUCAGGUGUUCUUUAACUCUCCUCAUAGUUCAGGUGUUCUUUAACUCUCCUCAUAGUUCAGGUGUUCUUUAACUCUCCUCAUAGUUCAGGUGUUCUUUAACUUUCCUCAUAGUUCAGGUGUUCUUUAUCUAUCCUCAUAGUUCAGGCGUUCUUUAUCUCUCCUCAUAGUUCAUGUGUUCUUUAUCUCUCAUCAUAGUUCAGGUGUUCUUUAUCUCUCCUCAUAGUUCAGGUGUUCUUUAUCUCUCAUCAUAGUUCAGGUGUUCUUUGUCUCCUCAUAGUUCAGGUGUUCUUUAUCUCUCAUCAUACUUCACGUGUUCUUUAACUCUCU